AGAGUUUGAUCCUGGCUCAGGAUCAACGCUGGCGGCGUGCCUAAUGCAUGCAAGUCGCGCGCGGGCCCUUUCGGGUGUCAGCGGCAGACGGGUGAGUAACGCGUGGGAACGUACCCUUCAGUUCGGAAUAACCCAGGGAAACUUGGGCUAAUACCGGAUACGUCCUGCCCCUUAAACAAGGGUAGGAGAAAGGUUUACUGCUGAAGGAUCGGCCCGCGUCGGAUUAGCUAGUUGGUGAGGUAACGGCCCACCAAGGCAACGAUCCGUAGCUGGUCUGAGAGGAUGAUCAGCCACACUGGGACUGAGACACGGCCCAGACUCCUACGGGAGGCAGCAGUGGGGAAUAUUGGACAAUGGGCGCAAGCCUGAUCCAGCCAUGCCGCGUGAGUGAAGAAGGCCCUAGGGUUGUAAAGCUCUUUCAGCGGGGACGAUAAUGACGGUACCCGCAGAAGAAGCCCCGGCUAACUUCGUGCCAGCAGCCGCGGUAAUACGAAGGGGGCUAGCGUUGUUCGGAAUUACUGGGCGUAAAGCGCGCGUAGGCGGAUAUUUAAGUCAGGGGUGAAAUCCCAGGGCUCAACCCUGGAACUGCCUUUGAUACUGGAUGUCUGGAGUUCGGGAGAGGUGAGUGGAAUUCCGAGUGUAGAGGUGAAAUUCGUAGAUAUUCGGAGGAACACCAGAAGCGAAGGCGGCUCACUGGCCCGAUACUGACGCUGAGGCGCGAAAGCGUGGGGAGCAAACAGGAUUAGAUACCCCCGUAGUCC
rnacentral:rRNA from 2 species